GACACAUCAACAGGCAAUUAUUAUAAUCACUGUAAUAAGUGAUAAGUAUUAUAAUACAUUAUGGAAUAUGAAACAUAUUCUCUAAGAAAAAAAGGGAGGACAGAAACAAGGAGGGUACUCUGUGGGGAAAUCAUGGAAUUUUUUACAAAGGAAGUAAUAUUUUGAGUCACUGAGUUAUUGAGGAAAGUAAGAGUUUGGCAAUUAGAGAAGAAUGGUAUGGUCAUUCCAGACAGAGGCAAUUACAAGUGGUAAAAGAUUUUAGGGUAAGAAAGCACAAAAGACAGAGACACAUUCAGAAACAAUGAAAUGUUCAGACGGUUCAAAUUGUAUUGGGGGGAAAGAAUGCCGAGGAACAGAACUAGAGUUAGUUUGAAUAGGUUUUGGUGGUGUUGUUUUUUUUUUAGUAAAUUUUAUUUAAAUUCCAGUCAGUUAACAUACAGUGUAAUAUUAAUUUCAGGUGUACAAUUUAGUGAUUCAACACUUACAACAUCUGGUGCUCGUCACAAGUGCCCUCCUUAAUCCCCAUCACCUAUUUAACCCAUCCCUCAGCCCACCUCCCCUCUGGUAAUCAUCAGUUUGUUUUUGAGUAGGUUUUAAAGGGCUUAGCAUGCCAAGCAGAGUGGGGCUGAAUUCUUUAUGCACUUUUUAACCACUGCAGGGGGUGGUAGGGAAAGGGAGUUCAAUGGGAGAGAGACAUGAUCAGAUGUCCAUUUUAGAACCAAUCUCUGGAGGUACAUUUAGGGACUUCUCUAAGGAGAACCUGAAUGAGCCACAGUGGGGCAGGUAGACUAGCCACGAGAAGACUACAAUAUUUCAGGCACAAAUAUGAUGAGGGUUAAAGGUGACAGCAAGGAAAGAGGAGAGGAAUCAAAUUUGAGUUAUAACUUUUGAUGUGGCAAAAAUAUGAUUUGUUGAUCAAUUCCCUGUAGAUAGAUUUUAAAAAUGACUCUCUGCCUGACGUUGGUUGCAUUCAUGAGAUUUAGAAAUCUACUGUUUUCCCUCCUAAGACCUAAGCAAGGAAGAGUUAAAUCUGGAAGUUAACUGGGGCCCCUGCACUACAAGUCAGGAAGGUGUUGAAUUAAUCUGCAGUGUGGUUUCUGAUCUCUUAUGGGCUGGGUGAUCUGCUUCUGAGGUACCCAUGAGAAGCACCUUCUUCCCUAAUCUCACAUGCUUGGACAGGGGACCCACAAGUUAUGCUUAGGUUCCUGGCUUUUAUUCUAGUCCUUCACUGGGGAAAAAUAAAAUGCCUUCCCAUCCACACUGUUCACCUGGGCCAUAACAUUCUAAGUAGUUAUUAGCCAGCCUGUAAGUAGUACCUACUAGUUCUGCUAGAUCUGGGCAUUCUAUCUAGAUGAAUCUCUAAGGAACUAGAGAUCAAGCUCAUAAAGGAACUUGCAUCUCCGUUGUUCAGGAGCCCUGCUACCUGUCCCUCCCUUCUCCCAUGGAUACUAUAACUCUUGAUAUAACAACAGUUCCCCAAAUCGCCUUUCAUAUCAGAAGCACCAGAUCAGAUCUCUCUAAGUUUUAAAUUAAUAGACCUGCACAUGGAGGUGGGAAGGGAAUGGAGAAUGAUAGAGCUGAGAAACUCCCAAGAUGAUUUUGAUGUGAGGCCAGAUUUGUAAACCCAAUAAAGAUGUGAUGUAUCUCAGUGCACUGAGUCCAUUGAGUCUAGCUAUGCAGACUGCCCCUUCCCUCAAUGAUAGGCAGUGGGGAGAGUCAUUUCUCUGCUUUAGUUGGCCCUCCUGGUCCCAAACCUGGUUCCCCUACUCCUUGUUAGUUUGCUAUGACUUUGUCACAUGCUUUCCUACUAUUUAGAAAACACUUAAGAGUGGAGAGAAAUAAAGGCUAAUGCAGAGGUUUCUAGUUUGAGAAUUUAAAAGGAUGGAACUAGCAUCACCUGAAAUAGAGAAUUCAGGAGGUGAAACAAGGGUGAAGGAAAGCAAUGAGUUUCAUUGAGGAAAUGUGUUAGGCUUAGAAGGUCUUUGGGCUUUUGACCAAAUGGGAAGUGAAAAUUAGUGUUUAUUGAAUGAAAAAUGCCCAGAUUUUAUUGUUUUUUUUCUCUCUUAUAAUAUCAUUGCACAAAGGCUUGCAUCAUCUUUACAAUUUAAAUUUUCCCCCACUUCAAAGAAAUGGGACAUAACAUUGAAAUUUUGUGUGAUGGCCUCAAGUAGAUAAUAAAUAUGUUUUGAAUAUAUAAAGAAAUUAAUGGUUUCCAAUCAAUAAUGAUCAAUAAUGAUCCAUAUGAAAUAUAAUAGCCACGUGACCUCGGACAUGAUACUCAACCUCUCUAUGCCUCAGUUUACUCCAAAAUAUUGCCUCUUCCUUAUACAGGGCAAUUAUUUAGCACAGUUCUCAAUACAUGGAAGUGUUUAAUAAAUUUAUCGUUAUUAUCACUAUUGUUAUUAUUAUUAUUGUUAUUAGUGAUGUGUGGUAAACACAUUCUACGCUACUAUGGUACCCAAGUGCCAUGCCUUUCCUUUCACUUGGAGUUAUCUGUAGUUUUUAAUGUUUACCCUAUAUUCUCUCAUACCUUUAAUUCACAAGCUACUUUCAAGAGUAAAAUUUGUAACCCAUGAUAGCAUACUUGCUUAGUUGUUUUUACAAUGCCCUUCUCAGAGGACCAUCCUCCAAAGAAAAAUCACUAGAUCUUCAGUAAAAGUAACCUUUUAUUGAAAAGUGUCCUCUCCAAAUACAGUGUGCACGGGAAUGUUAAUCCACACUUUCUUCUUUAUUCAGUGUCGAGAUUUAGGCACCAUGUUAAUAUUACCACAUUACUGCAGUUUCUGCAUAUGUGACACUUCUGCUUUUGGAGUUAAUUUUAACACUGUUGAAAUGUAGUCGUUUUUGUAUAAGUAAUGAUAUGAUUUUCCUAAGGUCCUAUAAUGCCAUUGUGCUAAAAAGCUCAUAUGUCUCUUAAAAUAUGAGUAAAACCUCUCAGAGACCUGUUCCACACAAUCCGAGUCUGAUGUGAUGGAAUUACCCAACCAGUCCGGGUAAAUGUCAGGAUUGGGUUGCAGGCAGCAAAAGUGUAACUCUGUUCCAAGAGCAAUAAAAAAGUUGGCAUAAAAAAGGAUCAUUUCCAAAGUGGUCAUGACUUGUAUUUGUGUCUCCUUAACACUGCUGCAAGAUGCUCGGCAUUGCUCAGAGAACACCGUACUUGGAAUUCUUGGGCACCACCUUUCACUCAGAGAAACAGCUAAAAAAUGCAUAAAUGUUGAACUCCUCAAGCAGUUCAGCCUGUCCUCUUUGGUCUUAUUUUGUUUCCUCUAUCCUCCUCCCUUAAAGAAAGAAAGGAAAAUAAAUGGAGAGCUUUUAAAUUAGAAAAAAUAGGCACCUCUUUGAGAUUUUUUUUUAAGACACUUAAAAAGAGUACAUCAACAUUGGCAUUGGCACUGACAAAUGGCUACUCCUAGAAAUACUGAAAAGGCUUUCCUGGGAUAAUAAUUACAUAUUGUAUACUAUUUAUUUUCAUAAUUUUAUGGUGAUAUUUUCCUAAAAAUUCACUUUCUAGUAUUCUGACUUUUUUUUUAGCCACUUCUGAAUUGGCGGAUGGGGGAAAGCAAAAGCUUGUACUUAACGAGAGAGCAUUGCCCAUUGCCUCGGUGCUUGAUCUUGAGAACGUACUGAAAACAAUUGUACUAUGCCUUCUCAAUACAGGAAAUUUCAAUAACUGAAAAACAUACCUUUGUUGAAGAAUCCUUUGAUCUCUUCACAAAAGAUGCCGUACUCCUGUGGAAUCUACCACUUCACAUUCAAAGACCUCCUCCCCUUCAGCCCACCUUUCUGGGAUUUAUUGCAGGUCCACAUAUACAAACCCCUUGAACAUUUUGAAUAAAUCAGUAAAAAUUCAGCAUAAAAUCUGAUUUGAUAUAUUUCUCCAAUGUCAAAUUGGUUUUUGGCUAAAGUCAGGGCAAUGUGAACAAAGUGGUUGUUUUUAAGAAAUGAGACUCUGAAACAUUAAUACUAUCAUUUAUACUGAAGGUGGGAAGGGAAAGAAAAAGAGAGCUGAGAAAAGCCCAAGAAAGAAGACACAAGAAAAAAAAGUUUAAUUAAACCAAGUAGGAAGAGUAAGUAUUCAUACCAAUGUAAUACAUUAAAUGAAGAAAUGGAUUUAAACCACUCAAUGUCUGGCAUACAGCAAGCAAUCAAUAAGUAUUAGCUGUUAUUAUUAUGUUGGCAUUUUGCACUCUGCACAAAGACAAAGUUAAAAUCCACAUUUCCUAUUGAAACAAUAAGAAAAAUGUUAUUGAGUGAAAGUUGUUCCAUCUAUAAAUUAAUAUACCAUAAUGAGGGAAUCAAACGUAUUCUUUAUUCCUACAACAGAAUUAGCUACAGCAUUCAUGGAGAGGUACUCAGGCAUCCUUUGAAACUUAUCCAGAUUUCAUGUAUAGAAACUAUGUUUUAAUAUACCCUUUCAUGUGGGACUUUAUAUACUACCUAUAUUCAUUUUCUUGCCACUCUAUUAUUCUAACCUUGUCUAAAACACAAUACCUUCUCUGCUAAACUUCAGGAGAAACAGACUCUAUUUCUAAUUUCCAUUAGCCCUCAACUCUGCAGUAGGUCUACAGAAGUCUAUUUAUCAUAAAAUUCAUAUCUCCAUACAAAAUCAGUAACAUUUUUUAAAGCUAACAGCUUUAUCGAAUUAUAAUAUAUACGCCAUAAAAUUCACCCACUUUAAGUGUACAAUACAAUAAUUUUUAGCAUAUUUAGUAUAUUUUCAGAAUUGUGCAGCCAUCACCAAAAACUAACCUUAAAACAUUUCCAGUACCCCAAAAAGAAACCUCAUGUCCUUUAGAAGCACUCUUCAUUUCUCAACCCCAGCCUUAGAGACACUAAUCUUCCUGUCUCUAUAUAUUUGCCUAAUUUGGACAUUUUAUACAAGUGGAAUUAUGCAAUAUGUGUCCUUUCAUGUCUGGCUUCUUUCACAGAGCAUAAUGUUUUGAGGCUCAUCGAUGUUGUAGCAUGUAUCAGUACUUUCUUUUUAUUGCUUAAUAGUAUUCCAUUAUAUAGAUAUAACACACUUUGUUUACUCAUUCACCAGUUGUUGGGCAUUUGGAUUUUUCCACCUUUUGGUACUUGUGGAUAGUACUUCUAUAAACAUUUACAUUUGUGUGGGCAUAUGUUUUCAUUUCCCUUGGGUAGAAACCUAGAUGUGAAAUUGCUGGGCUAUAGUCAUUCCAUAUUUCACAUAUUAAGAAACUGUCAUACUAUUUUCCUAUAAAGUGGCUGCACCAUUUUAUAAUCCCACCACUAGUGCAUGAAGGUUUUAAUUUCAAGUCCUCACCAACAUUUAUUACCUCUUAUUGAUCAUAAUAAUUCCAGUGGGUGUGAAGUGAUACCUUAUUGUGGUUUUUGCAUUCCUAAUGAUGUUGAGUAUUGUUUUAUGUGCUUAUAGGUCAUUAAAAUAGCUUCUUUAGAGAAUAUCUAUUCAGAUGCUUAGCUUAUUUUAUUUUAUUUUAUUUAAGAUUUUAUUUAUUUAUUUGAGAGAGAGAGAGAGCACAUGAAAGGGGGGAGGGUCAGGGGGAGAAGCAGACUCCCUGCUGAGCAGGGAGCCCGAUGCGG